UACGGGGGUGGCGAGCGUUACUCGGAUUCAUUGGGUGUAAAGGGCAGGUAGGUGGCUAUGCAAGUUGUAGGUGAAAUCCUGUGGCUCAACCACAGAACUGCCUUCAAAACUGCAUAGCUUGAGGCUAAUAGAGGAGAGCGGAAUUCCCGGUGUAAGGGUGAAAUCUGUAGAUAUCGGGAGGAACACCAGUGGCGAAAGCGGCUCUCUGGAUUAGAUCUGACACUAAACUGCGAAAGCUAGGGUAGCAAACAGG
rnacentral:rRNA from 1 species